ACUACGAAGAGUUUGAUCCUGGCUCAGGAUGAACGCUAGCGGCAGGCCUAAUACAUGCAAGUCGAGGGAGAAGUUUGGUGCUUGCACCGAACAGAAACCGGCGCACGGGUGCGUAACACGUAUGCAACCUACCUGUAACUGGGGAAUAGCCCGAAGAAAUUCGGAUUAAUACCCCAUAAUAUACCGAUGAGGCAUCUCAAUGGUAUUAAAGCUCCGGCGGUUACAGAUGGGCAUGCGGUCCAUUAGCUAGUUGGUGAGGUAACGGCUCACCAAGGCAACGAUGGAUAGGGGGUCUGAGAGGAUGAUCCCCCACACUGGUACUGAGACACGGACCAGACUCCUACGGGAGGCAGCAGUAGGGAAUAUUGGACAAUGGGCGAAAGCCUGAUCCAGCCAUGCCGCGUGCAGGAUGA
rnacentral:rRNA from 1 species